AGAUCGGGAACACGAGCUGUCCAACGUGCUGAUCGGGUCGCGAGCUGUCCGCGAGCUGUCUGAGAUCGUCUUGUUUGUGAGCUGAGGUUGAACAAGCCGAGAUCGUCUGAGCUAGGGUCAGGAAUGCCUAAGCUGAAGCUGAUCGGGAACAGAUUGCAGACAAGGAUCGGGAUGUAAGGUUUCGCAAUCGGGAUUAGGAUGGUUCGCCGGUAAGGAUGUUCGCCGAUUAGUGUUAGGGUUUUAGGCGGUUUGUUUUAGCUUAGGGAUUUAGAUUCUAUCGUGCUGAUAACGUGUUGUGAAACUAGAGAAUAUAAUCUAUGUUUCUGUAUUAUUCAUAAACAUAAGGAGCCCUUUAUAUAUAGGGAAUUACACCGUCAUAGAAUAAUUGAAAGACUAAAGAAAGGAAAUACAAAUAUGGAAAGAGUACAAAUCAUAAUCUAAUAAGGAAAAUGCAAGAUACCGAUUCUCUCCCUCUCUCUCUCCUCACGGUCGACUAUCUCUCUCUCUAGCAUUGAGCCGGUUAUGAACCAAGCCAGUUAUGAACAUCCACAAUAUGAUUUAUUACACCAGUGGACUAAACCAGUCAAAUGGCUUUAAUUAGCUAGCCGGUCAAAAAUACAGACUAAUGAUUUCCAUAUCUAUAUAAAUAAAGGAGGCUUUGAUCUCUCUUCAUAAAGCCACAUCAGCUGAUAGGGGUGGGCUUUUUCGGACAUGUGGCAUAAAAAAAUCGCCGGAAUUGCAUUUUAUUUACGUUUGGUGGGCUUUAAAAUGGAUUCGAUUGGUACUUAAUUUCGUGUGGGCUUUAUGCCCAAAUUGCUAUAAACUUCAUCUUCUUCUCGCCUUCUAUAUUCUCAGUUUAACUGCCGUAAAUUAUCUGGAACUUGCACCAACUAGGUCACCAUAACGUCUUGAUCACGUGGCGGAAUCCCCCAGCAAAACGCUGAAACAUGGAGAGACUUUCAAGGAACCUCCGAUGUUUACAGAGCAAAAGCAAGCUCCAGCGUUGUUGGUACACAAAAGAUCGAGUCACUUAUACAGAAACGGAAGCCCAAGUUUGACACUAACAAGUUGCAGCAAGUAGCAACGGAUGAUAAAGGAUUGUGGAUUGCUGUCGUGGGGUUGGUGCUGAUGUCAUCAUGACUUCAGAGUCUUGCAGAAAUGGUACUGAGCUGUGCAGCGAAGCAAUAGAAAAUCUGGAGAAGAAGUAUGAUGUGGUCCUUAACAUUCAAGGAGAUGAACAACUCAUUGAGCCUGUGAUUAUAGACAGUAUUGUCAAAGCACUUCAGGUAGCACCUGAUGCAGUAUUUAGCACAGCGGUGACGUCAUUAAAACCAGAAGACGGAGAUGAUCCUAACCGAGUCAAAUGUGUGGUGGACAACCGUGGCUAUACUGUCUAUAUCUCCAGUGGUUUGGUUCCGUAUAACACGAGUGGUAACGUCAAUCCAGAUUUCCUUACAUGCUUCAUCUUGAAAUACAGCUACGACAUCUAAUUGGACGGAGCUUUUUGUUUCACAUUUUCUCUAUCUCAGGCCAUUCGUGAAGGUGAAUUGCUUUACUUAUUGUUUGUCUGUUUUAGAUUUAAGCCGUAUUUUUCUUACUCAAUCCCUAUUAUACCAUGUGGCACUGCAAGGAGUAGAUGGCAUGUAUAAUCUUCCCCGGAAGAUGUGUUCAGUCAGGUCACGCUUCCCAUAAGCUUCUGAGACUGCUUACUGGAAUUUUUGGAGAAAACAAGGAGGUUAAAAUGGAUUUUAAUCCCAAACUAUCUCAUCUUUCUUUCACCCUGGCUUGGUUACUUAGGCUCAGAGGGUGGUCCCCCUUUCUCGCGUAAAAGCGAUCCUGGACCAUUCAGCCUCUCUCAACCAAGUAUCCCCUUCCCUUAUUAAAUAAAGUAGCUAAUGAAAUGAGGCAGGUUGUGCUAGAAGUCUGUUCCAAAGAGCUUGGCUCUUAGUAGGCAAGACGGUCUUUGUUUUUUGUUACUAUAUCCAUGAGAAUACUAAUGUUUAAUGGAUCAGGAAGUUUACUCUUUUGUGUUUGUUGAUAGGAUGGUAGCACAUGCGAUGGAGUUAUGGACAGCUGUAAGCGAUGAAGGAGAAGUUCUUGCACAUGUUCUUGCACAUGAGGGAGCAGCGACAUUUGGGUGGAGUCAACAUGGAAGAUCUACAUAGACUUGACUAUGCUCAAGUCUUUCUUCUUAUGCUCUGACUCUGAAGAUCUCAGGAAUACAUAACUGGAAACAUGGAGGAAAGGUUCGGGGAUUUUUUGGCUUCAGCAAGUCUGGGAUUAGCGCUGUCUCAAAGUGACUGCUUAACAGCUGCUUGAUUCUGUUGGAAAGCCAUUGUCUGAUAAAAAUCUUACGGUCCUCCAGGCCAUAUUUGAAACAUAUUUCAUUAUGUGCAUCCUUCUUCAUACUUUGACAUUGUCUAACGGGAAGGCCUGGUGGAGCUGUUGGGUUCCGAAUUGCAGAUCUUUGGCUGUCUUGAUUUUCUUCACAAAUAUUAAUCAUUUAUAUCUUCUGUUUUCUUUGCUAAUGACUUUGGUUCUAUAAAUAUAUGUCCUGAAAUUAGAGCCCAAAACUAUUACCCAAAACAAAUGCAUAAUAUGCAAAUGUUAAUUUCUCAACUCUAUUACAAAGACGUCUAAUAAUUAUUGUCUCAGAAGGUAAAUAUAGAAAGUUUCCGAAUUACAUAAGUGAUGAUAGUAACACUAUAAUGAAAUGAGUAUUAAUAAAUAUAAUAAUAUAAUUAAGAGAAAAUUCCAUAAAAAUACCCCACUAAAUUUUGUUAAGUUUUUUAAUACUCAAAUUUUUUCGCUACCCACUUUAAUUCUCCAACUAUUUA